rnacentral:lncRNA from 10 species
CCAAGUUCGAACUUGCUGGCAGCUUUGUUUACACCGUGAGGUGUUCGCUUCCUGGAUGUUCUGACUAAUUUAAACUAUGGUUAAUUGAAGACUGAAAUAUUCGGGAAACUAUGACAGGAACAAUUUGCUACGGACAGUUUCCACCUGUACUCUCAAGACUUAGAAGCCAUAUGGAUAGAAUGAAAUAGGAAUUGGUGGUGUCUUGGAAUAUCUGCUUCAGGACGAUAAUGAAACUAAUGAUUUAGGGCAGUAGAAGAAGCCGUGGGAGGAACUUUCACAUUUGGCGAGCAUGGAAUCCCCUCUGCAGUUAUGUUUGCCUGUGCAUCUCCGGCAGCUGGAGGACGAAUCACAUCAGGCUGAUGAGUGUGUCACGCUCUUCAUCCCCCAAGAGCUGUGAUGAAGACCAAGACAAACAGUAGAUUAACAGUGCUACCUUUUAUAAGGCUGAUUAGUUCCUAAAAUAUGCUGAAAGGAAACAAAACCAAAAAGAAAAAAGAGUGGAAAGG